rnacentral:rRNA from 1 species
UAGGCGAAGAUCCCUAGCUGGUCUGAGAGGAUGACCAGGCACACUGGAACUGAGACACGGUCCAGACUCCUACGGGAGGCAGCAGUGGGGAAUAUUGCACAAUGGGCGCAAGCCUGAUGCAGCCAUGCCGCGUGUGUGAAGAAGGCCUUCGGGUUGUAAAGCACUUUCAGCGAGGAGGAAGGUGGUGAACUUAAUACGUUCAUCAAUUGACGUUACUCGCAGAAGAAGCACCGGCUAACUCCGUGCCAGCAGCCGCGGUAAUACGGAGGGUGCAAGCGUUAAUCGGAAUUACUGGGCGUAAAGCGCACGCAGGCGGUUUGUUAAGUCAGAUGUGAAAUCCCCGGGCUCAACCUGGGAACUGCAUUUGAAACUGGCAAGCUAGAGUCUCGUAGAGGGGGGUAGAAUUCCAGGUGUAGCGGUGAAAUGCGUAGAGAUCUGGAGGAAUACCGGUGGCGAAGGCGGCCCCCUGGACGAAGACUGACG